GACGAACGCUGGCGGCGUGCCUAAUACAUGCAAGUCGAACGCAGUGGGGACGGGUGCGUAACACCUGGGUAACCUCCCAUCAGAGGGGAUAACACUUGGAAACAGGUGCUAAACCGCUACUGAUGGAUGGACCCGCGGUGCAUUAGCCAGGUGGUGGGGUAACGGCUCACCAAGGCCACGAUGCAUAGCCGGGCUGAGAGGGUGAUCGGCCACACGGGGACUGAGACACGGCCCAGACUCCUACGGGAGGCAGCAGUAGGGAAUAUUCCGCAAUGGGCGAAAGUCUGACCGAGCAACGCCGCGUGAGUGAAGAAGGUUUUCGGAUCGUAAAACUCUGUUGUUAGAGAAGCGGUAUCUAACCAGAAAGCCACGGCUAACUACGUGCCAGCAGCCGCGGUAAUUC
rnacentral:rRNA from 1 species